rnacentral:rRNA from 1 species
GAUGAACGCUGACAGAAUGCUUAACACAUGCAAGUCAACUUGAACUUCGGUUUGGGUGGCGGACGGGUGAGUAACGCGUAAAGAACUUGCCUCACAGAUAGGGACAACAUUUGGAAACGAAUGCUAAUACCUGAUAUUAUGAUUAUAUGGCAUCGUAUAAUUAUGAAAGCUAUAUGCGCUGUGAGAGAGCUUUGCGUCCCAUUAGCUAGUUGGAGAGGUAACGGCUCACCAAGGCGAUGAUGGGUAGCCGGCCUGAGAGGGUGAUCGGCCACAAGGGGACUGAGACACGGCCCUUACUCCUACGGGAGGCAGCAGUGGGGAAUAUUGGACAAUGGACCAAGAGUCUGAUCAAGCAAUUCUGUGUGCACGAUGAAGUUUUUCGGAAUGUAAAGUGCUUUCAGUUGGGAAGAAAAAAAUGACGGUACCAACAGAAGAAGUGACGGCUAAAUACGUG